rnacentral:lncRNA from 1 species
AUGCCUAAGGUAAGGCUUUCUUGUAUUGAUAGAAGUGUUCACUGGAUGCGGGUUAAUCCCUUCCUCUCGAGGAUCGCUGGCUGGAUCACCGGUGGUUGAUCUCCUGCACAAGGAAACAAGCCGUGACUCGUAACAAGGAGGAUGGGGUGGGGGGUGCUCCUUGUUACCACUCUCCGGCGUGAGAAUCAGUAGUUUGCUUGGAAAGCAAAGUAAGAUAGUAGUAGUAGUGAGAGAGUUGUGAAGAGAUACCUCAAACCUGGUUUGGGGUUGGUAUUUAUAGCCGAGGAGUGAAGGAGGAUGAUGAUGGAUGGACUGACGACGUGUUGCACCUUUGCAGGUGUGUCAGGCUUGUCGGUUGUGGAGGUUACGCCACGUCAGUCCAUUGCUUACGUAGCUCUGACAGGUAACUGCCAUUGGUGCCACUUGCACUGUGGUGUCAGUCCCACUUGUUGAGUGCAUAGGAUGCGGUGCAAGCCGCAUCGCUACGUGCGGUAACAUCUGAAGUUACCGCGUCUCCUACUUGUGAUCAAGGAAUACGCGAGAUGCGGUGCUAGCCGCAUCGUCGUCCGCGGAGACUAUUUGCCUGCAUCCCUUGUCGUGACGAAAAUGCCCAUAUGGUGCGGUGUCAGCCGCACCGUUACGUUCAUCUUCUUCUAUGCCUAAGGUAAGGCUUUCUUGUAUUGAUAGAAGUGUUCACUGGAUGCGGUGCGAUGC